AUUGAACGCUGGCGGCAGGCCUAACACAUGCAAGUCGAACGAGUGGCGGACGGGUGAGUAAUGUCUGGGAAACUGCCUGAUGGAGGGGGAUAACUACUGGAAACGGUAGCUAAUACCGCAUACCAUCAGAUGUGCCCAGAUGGGAUUAGCUUGUGGGUGGGGUAACGGCUAGCCAAGGCUACGAUCCAUAGCGGGUCUGAGAGGAUGACCGGCCACACGGGGACGGAGAACCGGUCCAGACUCCUACGGGAGGCAGCAGGGGGUAAUAUUGCACAAUGGGCGAAAGCCUGAUGCAGCCAUGCCGCGUGUAUGAAGAAGGCCUUCGGGUUGUAAAGUACUUUCAGCGGGGAGGCGGUACCCGCAGAAGAAGCACCGGCUAACUCCGUGCCAGCAGCCGCGGUAAUAC
rnacentral:rRNA from 1 species